AGAAGAAGGGAAAUGGAAAAAAGGAAAAGAAGAAGCUAAAGAAAAAAGACAAAACAGACGAUGGAGAUGAGGAAGAUGGAAAGAAGGAUUCUAAACCAAAAGGGAGAAUGAGACGAUUUUUUGCCUGCCUUUGCUGUUGCCUUAGGAAAAACGGAGAAGACUAAAUUAGACCAUCUGCAUAACGUCGAUAAUUUUUAUGAUGAAGAUAAUUUUCAGAUUUUUUAAUUAGGAAAAUGAGCCACCUAUUUAACGUCGAUUGUUUUUUUUUAAUGAUAAAGAUAUUUUUCAAAUUUUUGUGACCAAGAAGGAGAACCAUCUAUAUAACGUCGAUAAUCUGUUUUUAUUAGCUAAUCUGAGCUCAAGUGAGCUCAAAAACGCCCUCUGAUCGAAAUGCGUCCUUUGUCUGUCCUCGUAAACUUUUUACAAUUUCAUCUUCUUCUCCAGAACUAGUGGCCAAAUUUCAACCAAACUUGGCACAGAGUAUCCGUAGGUAAAAUAAAAUCAAAUUUAUGCAAACGAAGGGCCACGCCCUCUUUUAAGGGGAAAUAAUUACAAAUUAGUAACAGAUAUUAGAAAUUAAAAAUCUCAAGAACCAAUGUGCCGGUAAAGAUGAAACUAAUGUCACCCUCAGGUAGUGAAGAUUCAGGUUUGUUCAAAUCAUGACCCCCAGAGCAGGAAUGGGCCACAAUGGCGAAUUAUAGUUUUACAUAGGAAUAUACAGGAAAAGUCUUGAAAAAUAUAAUCUACUCAAGAGCAAUGCCAUGCUUAGGUAUAUUUAUAGAUUGUGUAUAUUCAGAUUUGUUCAAAUCACGACCCGGGGGUAGGGUGGAACCAUAAAGUAAAAACUUAUAGGGAAAAUGUCACAGUUAGUCUAAGAAAUGAGCAUCUAUAUUAAGUGUAGAUUCAAUUUUGUUUGAAUCAUAGCCCAUCCCCCUUUUAGGGAUAGGUUGGGUCCACUUAUGCAGUGAAGCUUUUCAUAGUUGAACUGCAUGAUUUUUGCUAGUUUUCCUAUCCACGGUGCUCAGGUGAGCGAUGUGGUUCCAUAAGCGUUUUGUGAUAAGGGUGAUUUUCACUUGAAUGACCACCUACACAACCUUUAUUGUUUUGUAUUUAUGAUAAAGAUGAUUGUUAGAUUUUUGUAAGCAAGGAAGUGAGCCACCUAAAUAAUAUCGAUUGUUUUGUGUAUCUGAUGAAGAUAAUUUUCACAGUUUUGUGGCCAAGGAAAAGAGCCACCUAAAUAACAUGAUGAUUGUUUUGUAUUUAUGAUAGAGAUAAUUUUUAGAUUGUUGUAACCAAGGAAAUGAGCCGCCUGAAUAACAUCGAUUGUUUUGUUUAUAUGAUGAAAAUUUUACAUUUUUAAGACCAAGGAAA